UGUUCGGCUCUUGGGUCCCGGUC
rnacentral:misc_RNA from 1 species